CUGCAGCCUUCCAGCGGGGCUGAACCUGCAGUGGUUCUGUUCCUUCCUGCCAAGUCUGCCACAGAAACGAGGGGCGGUUUGAGGCCCCGCUGUGGCCCUGACACGGCAGGGUUAUAGGUAAACCUCCACCAAAC